AAAGCUGGACUUUGAUGACGAAGAAGAA
rnacentral:piRNA from 1 species